CAGAGAGCAGGAAUUUGGGCCGAGAAACUGCAUAAACAAACCUUGUUAGUUGUUUCCUUAUUGACCGCCCCAAGUCCAAACUCUUGUUUUAUUUCUGGCUGCGCUGGGUCUUCGCUGCUGUGUGGGCUUUCUCUAGCUACGAUGGGGAACAUUGAGGCUCAGAGGAGGGCCCUGACCUGUUCAGCAUCACAGAGCCAGUGAGCGGCAGACCCAGGACUGGAACCAGUUUCUCCUGAUCCUCAGACUGGGUGCAGACGAAGGAGCAGGUACAGACAGAACCUGGAACACGUGUGUCCAAGAAUGCAGAAGAUAAGCAAACCAAGGCUAAGGGAGGCAAACUGACUGGCAAGAGGAGCUGGGAUGUUCCACCCAGGCAGUCUGCUCUAGAGCCCCACACAUCACAGCGCUGCUGCCUGCCCUGUGGGCAGUUUGCUUUUGAAAACGUAAGGAAGGUCCUGGC